UACGGGGGGGGGCAAGCGUUGUUCGGAAUUACUGGGCGUAAAGGGCUCGUAGGCGGCCAACUAAGUCAGACGUGAAAUCCCUCGGCUUAACCGGGGGAACUGCAUCUGAUACUGGAUGGCUUGAGUCCGGGAGGGGAUGGUGGGAAUUCCCAGUGUAGCGGUGAAAUGCGUAGAUAUUGGGAAGAACACCGGUGGCGAAGGCGGCCAUCUGGACCGGCACUGACGCUGAGACGCGAAAGCCAGGGGAGCGAAUGGG
rnacentral:rRNA from 1 species